rnacentral:rRNA from 1 species
CCUACGGGCGGCAGCAGUGGGGAAUAUUGGGCAAUGGGCGCAAGCCUGACCCAGCAACGCCGCGUGAAGGAAGAAGGCUUUCGGGUUGUAAACUUCUUUUCUCAGGGACGAAGCAAGUGACGGGACCGGAGGAAUAAGCCACGGCUAACGACGUGCCAGCAGCCGCGGUAAUACUUAGGUGGCAAGCGUUAGCCGGAUUUACUGGGUGUAAAGGGCGUGUAGGCGGGGACGCAAGUCAGAGGUGAAAACCACGGGCUCCACCUGUGGCCUGCAUUUGAAACUGUGUUUCUUGAGUACUGGAUAGGCAGCCGGAAUUCCUCGUGUAGCGGUGACCUGCGUAGAUAUUAGGAG